AUGGAUCUCGCUCCUUUCAAGCUGGAUAUUGACGAGCUACUAGAUGAUUAUGCCAAGGAAAAUUGCAUGUCAUUCACCGAUUUCAAGAGAGUGUGGAUGGCCAAGAAGUUUUCUUAUAUCUAUGAAGGCCGACCCAAGACAAACUCAGGCGUUUUUAUGCAAUCCCUCUUUUUGCAUUGUAUUGGCCAUAUGACUUCCCAAAGUUCUCUACUUCAGAGGUUGCCUGGUCUUUACUGCCUUUACUGCCUUUAUGAGUGCCAACCAUACAAGCCACACUACAAAAUUUAUCUGUCUCUUGAGGAGUCCAAGAAACUCAAAGACUUUGUCAUUGAGGCUAAGCAGAAUGGGCUUGCCCUUGUACCAGCACUUGUCAAAAGGAUGCUAGACAAGGGCAUGUUUCUGUUUGGGUUCAUAAAUUUGCUUGGUGACAAUGAGGCAAAGGAGGUUGAUGAAAUGAAUGCAUCCCAGAAUAAACGGGUGAAAUUUGCCUGUGACAAGUUGUUUGCAAAUACUCAAAUAGGGAGUUAUACGCACACAGACUUGGGAGUGGAGUUUGAACUUGACAGCAUCAAGAAAUUGUCAAUGGACUAUGCUAAAGCCAAAGAAUCAGCCUUUGCAGAGGCAAGCCAAACUGUUGAUGUGGAAGACGCCAAGCACAUCCUUCAGAAUGACAAACUGCUGGGUGACAAGGUAGAGGAAAUCGUCAAAGAGUGGGAUGCCCAGAAGGAAGAUUUCUACCAGAAAACAGGUGUAUCUCCCCAUGAUGAACUGGCGGUGGUUGACAACGACGAAUCUGGAGAAUUCCAUGAUGAACUAGAACAGCUGCUGCUGGAAUGA
rnacentral:rRNA from 1 species